rnacentral:misc_RNA from 1 species
UAGUGAAUCAUCCGGGCAUUUG